rnacentral:rRNA from 1 species
CAUGUCUUUAUGAUAAUAAUUUUAGGUUUGAUCUGCCCACUGAAAUAUUUUAAAUGGCCGCAGUAUAUUAACUGUGCAAAGGUAGCGUGAUAAUUAGUUUUUUAAUUGAAAGCUGGUAUGAAUGAUUUAACGAGAAAAUUACUUUUUUAGAUUAAAAAGUUGAAUUUUAUUUUUAAGUUAAAAAGCUUAAAUUUUUUUAAGGGACGAGAAGACCCUAUAGAGUUUAAUAUUAAUUUAAAUGGUUUAUUUGGGAAUAAUUUUUACUAUUUAUUGUUAAUAUUUAAUUGGGGUGAUUAAAAGAUUAAUUUAACUCUUUUUACUUUUAACAAUGAUGUUUGAAUAUGGGAUCUAUUAUAUAAUAGAAAGAAUAAAUUACCUUAGGGAUAACAGCGUAAUUUUUUAAAAAGUUCUUAUUUAAAUAAAAGAUUGCGACCUCGAUGUUGGAUUAAAAUUUAGUUUAGA